rnacentral:sRNA from 1 species
AAUUUUGUAUCCGUCGAGGCUACAGUAGAGGUUAAAUGGAAACCACCCUUGGGAACUGGAUGCCUGUGUAGCUGUUCUACCAUAUCAGUGUAUUGCAAUGAGUGGGGGAGGAGAGCAGCCGGAUAUCCUGAGUGUUGGAAUCCUAGUGAAAGAAAGAUGGAAAGUGGUGGAAUCAGCUCAACAACCAAAACAAGUUCUGAAAAUGGAAGUUGCUGUUUUGAAAAAGCUGCAAGACAGGUUCUCAUUCUGUUGCUUAGGCUGGAGUACAGUGGCACAAUCAUGGCUAACUGCAGUCUUGAACUCCUGGGCUCAGGCAAUCCUUCUGUCUCAGCCUCUUCAGAAGCUGGGACUUCAGGAGGCUGAGGCAGGAGAAUCACUUGAACCCGAGAGGCCUGAGGUUGCUGUGAGCCGAGAUUGCGCCAUUGGACUCCAGCCUG